UACGGAGGGGGCGAGCGUUAUUCGGAAUUAUUGGGCGUAAAGGGCGGAAAGGCGGCUUCGUGUGUCUUCUGUGAAAGCCCUCGGCUCAACCGAGGAAUUGCAGAGGAAACUGCGGAGCUUGAGUACGGGAGAGGAGAGUGGAAUUCCCAGUGUAGCGGUGAAAUGCGUAGAUAUUGGGAGGAACACCGGUGGCGAAAGCGGCUCUCUGGACCGUUACUGACGCUAAACCGCGAAAGCUAGGGUAGCAAACGGG
rnacentral:rRNA from 1 species